GUCUCCUUCCUGUACUCCCCACGCUGGCCCUGCUCCUGCCCUGGCCCUGCUGAACUGCCCAGGUUCAGCCCCCGACUCUCGCUCCCCAGCACUUCCUGCCACGCCCUUCCCUACAAGCUUCUCCUCUUUUGAGCUUUUCCCUACAAUGCACCCAGGCUAAGCCCUCCCAAGCCAAAUCUGAAUGAGCUCUCCUGCAAGUAAAGCCUUGCCAUGGCUCCCCACACCCUUGAGAAUAAAACUCAAGCUCUACCUCCCACUUCACACGCCAGCACCUGGCUCAAUGAGAUCCUCUCCACUCCAGUGUCUGCUUCUAACUCUCCAAACACAUCACAAACGGCCUGGCCUUCCUGCUCACACACUUUCUGUGCCUCAGAUGCUCAUAUUGCCUGGCAAUUCCAGUUUCCCUGACGCUCAGGCCUCCCUCCUUCGGGAAGCCCUCCCUGCCCCAACCCCACCUCAGGCUCAGGCAGGGACACGUGAUGCUCGUCACCACGUGUACAGAGAUAUAAUCACCUAGUUACGCAUCCACCUCCUGGAUUCAACGACAAACGCCUUAAGGGCAGAGACUAGGUCUUUUUUAUCUCGGAUGCUGAGCACCUGGCACAAGGUCUGCACUUCACAGAAACUCAAAUGUCUUAAUGACUCAGUCCCCCUGGUUCUCCAGAAGUAGGAGUCAUCUUAGAUUCAGCUGUGAUGGGUAGCCAGUGACGCCUGUUGACUAUCUCCAAAAUCUCUCUGAAAUCCUGCUUAAAUCCUGCUUCCAUCUCCAUCCCCACUGCACUCCCCGGGCUGAAAUUAACUUCCUUCCUCCAACAUCCCCUUUGUACAAAUACAAUUCCUAUCUGGUUCCUGCCAGAGUCGCUUUACUGAAACACACAUCUGUUGUUAGUUCCAUGCCUGAGGACCCUCUGCAGCUUUUCACCACUUGCAGGGGCACUGGGGGCCCUCCACACUCUUUCCCCCUGUCCCCCUCCAAGCCCACCUACUGUCUACCCACACGCCCAACACUGGUCUGGCAGCCAUUCUCAGAACUCUCCAGACACAUCGAUGGCCCGUGCAGGCUUUCAGGCAUCCCUUUUGCCAGGAGCGGCCCACUGCCACCUCAUCUUCAAGGCCCAGUUUAGAGGUCAUCUCCUGGGUGGAACCUGCGCGGACUCCCCCUCCUGCCACGCAGAACUCACGCCUGGCCUCCACUCUGUCCUCUACCGCACUUUCAACGCUACCCCUUUCACUGCAAGGUCUGGUCCCUCACUGGGCCCCCCGCAGGUGAGCCAGGCCAGGCCCAGGCCGUGGCACCCGCUGCAAGCGCGCGCGUGAGUCAGCCACCGGCCAGGCUGUUUCCUUCGAUUUAACAAGUGCAGUGUUGAACAGCGGCGCACCCUGCCCGCUGUAACAAUGGGAAUAAAGAGCUCAGGAAUAAGACGUGCCUGGCUCAAAGCCAGGGGUGGGCAGGGCUGGGACCCGGACCAUCGGACUAGAAGUCUUAUUCACCAACAGUUAAACAAAACCCCGCACAGCCGGCGACGGCGGGCCUAAGAAACCACGGGGGGCUCCGGGGCCGGCGCCGGCAGUUCCGCACCGCCGCCACCGCGCUCCUGCGGACCGAGCUCCUUCUAUCUGCUACUCCACGCCGCGGAGCCGAGCGUUCCGUUCCCUGCACACACUCCUGCUUCCCGCAGCCGAAGUGGGAACUUGCGGGGACGCUGAUGCUUACGGCGCCCGCCAGCGAGAAGCAGACUGGACCGAAAGCACCGCUCUCCUGAGCCGGGCACGCCUCCAGCCUCGGCGCCCCGGUGCGCAUGCGCCCCCGGCCGCCGCCCGCCCCCGGCUCGCGUGCACACGCCGCGCCGCGCCCCGCCGUGCGCACGCGCAUGCGCAGCCCGCCCUGGCACGCGCCUCGGUCCCUGGGGCGGCGGCGCGGGUUGCGGGCGAGGCGCGGCCCGGGCGGGGCGCGUGGGCUCAGCUCCCUCUGCCGGCCUGCGCGCCGGCCUCCCGAGCGCCCACGCUGGGUGCCCCGGACCGGCCGGGGGUGAGCGGGCGCCGGGCGCCGGGCCGUGGGCCCGCGCCUCCCUCCCGGCCACGGGCGGACCCUGUUCGUCUUGAGUGGCGGCCGAGCGCACGGCUCUGCGGGCCGCGUCUCCCCGGCCUGUCCUCCGCGGCAGGCGGCCCCGAGGGCGGAGGCGGUCCACCUCUUCCUGGGCCUCAGUGCCACAGCCGGAAGGCGGGCAGUGAUCGUGAUCGUGCCUCCCGGGGCGGGCUGCACGUGAGGUCACAUGAGUUAGCAACAGGUAAAGAACUCAUUCAACCGUGUAAUAAAACUGCAAACAACAGAAGCUUCCCAGAAGGAGAUACACAGAUGGCAAAUAAGUACAAGAAGGAUGCUCGACCAUCAUCUUCAUGAGGGAAACACAAAGCCACAGUGAGACACGGCCACACCAUUGUCCGUCCACUCGAGUGGCCAAAGAAGGCUGACGUCGGCAAGCACCAAGGUUGCAGAGCUGCUGAAAUUCUCAUCCGUUGCAGACAAGUGGGCAAAAUGCUGUGCAUUCCUGUCCGGUUCCAACAACUCGUCGUCCGUCAGUUCCUUAGGAACCACCUCCAGGAGCUUCUCAACGUCGUUCUCACCCAGGUUAAAGUUGUUUGCCGUCUCAGCCACGGCCUUGUUGACUUUUGCAGCCUCCUCAUCCUUGGCAAAUCCUUUGGAGUCAUAUACGAACCUCCUGAGUGUCUUCUUCCAGAUGCCAUUCAUACACUCCUUGGUGACAUGACUCCAAGCCCAAGCAAGCUUCUUGAUGUAGUCGUAGAUGUUGUAAUCCUUCCAGAACUGCAUCAGUGUCUUCCUCAUGUUACUGAACCAGGAUCGCAGCUGCGGUGGAAUGGGACAUGCCUGACUGGUUUCACCUCAGGAUCUCCUUGUAUCCUGUCCACUCACCUCUCUCCAGGAUAAAGGCUGUCCUCACUUUCAUGGAGAGCCUCCUGAAACAUAAAGAGAGAAUAUUGAAGGUCGAGGGAGAGAAAGAUCCACCAUGCCAAGACUAGCCAAGAGCAAGCUCCUGAGCCGGGUCAAUAGCCGAUGAAACACAACUGAAGGCAGCAAAGCCCAAAGCUGACUUGUUGAAAAUACAAAUAUAAAGCCAAGCUUCUGGUAGUAUUAACAAGAAAAAGAGGAGGCGCAGGUAAAAACAUUAGGAAAGACAACGAGAUUUAAC
rnacentral:lncRNA from 1 species